GCUGAAGUAGCUCAGUUGUUUAGAGCGUGUGAACCUUAACCACAAGGUCGAAGGUUUGAACCCUAACUCUAGCA